AGAAUCAACGCUGGCGGCGUGCCUAACACAUGCAAGUCGAACGAGAAAGUGGGAGCAAUCCCACGAGUAAAGUGGCGCACGGGUGAGUAACACGUGACUAACCUACCCUUGAGUGGGGGAUAACCUAGGGAAAACCUGGGCUAAUACCGCAUAAUACCUACGGGUCAAAGGAGCAAUUCGCUUAAGGAGGGGUCGCGGCAGAUUAGUUAGUUGGCGGGGUAAUGGCCCACCAAGACAGUGAUCUGUA
rnacentral:rRNA from 1 species